UACGGAGGGUGCAAGCGUUGUCCGGAAUCACUGGGCGUAAAGGGCGCGUAGGCGGCUCGGUAAGUAGGGGGUGAAAUCCUGCGGCUUAACCGCAGGGCUGCCUUCUAAACUGUCGAGCUCGAGCACGGUAGAGGCAGAUGGAAUUCCCGGUGGAGCGGUGAAAUGCACAGAGAUCGGGAAGAACACCAGUGGCGAAAGCGCUCUACUAGGCCGUGACUGACACUGAGAGACGAUAGCUAGGGGAGCGAAUGGG
rnacentral:rRNA from 1 species